ACGGGUGAGUAAUGUCUGGGAAACUGCCUGAUGGAGGGGGAUAACUACUGGAAACGGUGGCUAAUACCGCAUAACGUCGCAAGACCAAAGAGGGGGACCUUCGGGCCUCUUGCCAUCAGAUGUGCCCAGAUGGGAUUAGCUUGUUGGUGAGGUAACGGCUCACCAAGGCGACGAUCCCUAGCUGGUCUGAGAGGAUGACCAGCCACACUGGAACUGAGACACGGUCCAGACUCCUACGGGAGGCAGCAGUGGGGAAUAUUGCACAAUGGGCGCAAGCCUGAUGCAGCCAUGCCGCGUGUAUGAAGAAGGCCUUCGGGUUGUAAAGUACUU
rnacentral:rRNA from 1 species